UGACCGAUAGCGAACCAGUACCGUGAGAGAAAGGUGAAAAGUACCCCGACAAGGGGAGUGAAAUAGUACCUGAAACCGAAUGCCUACAAACAGUCGGAGCCCAAGAUUCGUUCUGGGUGACGGCGUACCUUUUGUAUAAUGGGUCAGCGACUUAGUCUAACGAGCAAGCUUAAGCCGGUAGGUGUAGGCGUAGCGAAAGCGAGUCUGAAUAGGGCGUUCAGUUCGUUGGAUUAGACCCGAAACCGAGUGAUCUAGCCAUGAGCAGGCUGAAGGUAAGGUAACACUUACUGAAGGGCCGAACCCGUAUCUGUUGCAAUAGAUUGGGAUGACUUGUGGCUAGGGGUGAAAGGCCAAUCAAACUCGGAAAUAGCUGGUUCUCCGCGAAAUCUAUUUAGGUAGAGCGUUAGUCGAAUUCUCCAGGGGGUAGAGCACUGGAUGGGCUAGGGGUCCUCACCGGAUUACCAAACCUAACCAAACUCCGAAUACCUGGAAGAACUAACUAGCAGACACACGGCGGGUGCUAACGUCCGUCGUGGAGAGGGAAACAACCCUGACCACCAUCUAAGGUCCCCAAGUUAUGGCUAAGUGGGAAAGGAUGUGAGGAUCCCAAAACAACCAGGAUGUUGGCUUAGAAGCAGCCACCAUUUAAAGAAAGCGUAACAGCUCACUGGUCUAAAUAAGGGUCCCUGCGCCGAAAAUGUAACGGGGCUAAAGCCAUACACCGAAGCUGUGGAUUUACUCUUUAUUGAGUAAGUGUAAGUGGUAGCGGAGCGUUCCGUAAGCCUGUGAAGGGAGACUCGUGAGAGCUCCUGGAGGUAUCGGAAGUGAGAAUGCUGACAUGAGUAACGAUAAAGGGAGUGAGAGACUCCCUUGCCGAAAGUCCAAGGGUUCCUGCUUAAAGUUAAUCUGAGCAGGGUGAGUCGG
rnacentral:rRNA from 1 species